rnacentral:tRNA from 1 species
AUUUAAGUAGUUUAUUUAAAAUAUUGAUUUGUGGAAUCAAAGAAAUUUUAUUAAUCUUAAAUA